rnacentral:rRNA from 1 species
CCCGAGUUGUAAUCUAUAGAAACGUUUUCCGCGCUGGCCCAUGUACAAGUCUCCUGGAAUGGAGCGUCAUAGAGGGUGAGAAUCCCGUCCUUGACAUGGACUACCAGUGCUUUGUGAUACGUUUUCAAAGAGUCGAGUUGUUUGGGAAUGCAGCUCAAAAUGGGUGGUAAAUUCCAUCUAAAGCUAAAUAUUGGCGAGAGACCGAUAGCGAACAAGUACCGUGAGGGAAAGAUGAAAAGCACUUUGGAAAGAGAGUUAAACAGUAUGUGAAAUUGUUGAAAGGGAAACGAUUGAAGUCAGUCAUGUCUAUUGGACUCAGCCGGUUCUGCCGGUGUACUUCCUUUAGAUGGGGUCAACAUCAGUUUUGAUCGCUGGAAAAGGGCAGGAGGAAUGUAGCACUCUCGGGUGAACUUAUAGCCUUCUGUCGUAUACAGUGGUUGGGACUGAGGAACGCAGCAUGCCUUUAUGGCCGGGGUUCGCCCACGUACAUGCUUAGGAUG